AUACGUAGGGGGCGAGCGUUGUCCGGAAUGAUUGGGCGUAAAGGGCGCGUAGGCGGCCCGGUAAGUCUGGAGUGAAAGUCCUGUUUUUAAGAUGGGAAUUGCUUUGGAUACUGUCGGGCUUGAGUGCAGGAGAGGUAAGUGGAAUUCCCAGUGUAGCGGUGAAAUGCGUAGAGAUUGGGAGGAACACCAGCGGCGAAGGCGACUUACUGGACUGUAACUGACGCUGAGGCGCGAAAGUGUGGGGAGCAAACAGGAUUAGAUACCCUGGUAGUCCACACUGUAAACGAUGAAUGCUAGGUGUAAGAGGUAUCGACCCCUUUUGUGCCGGAGUUAACACAAUAAGCAUUCCGCCUGGGGAGUACGGCCGCAAGGUUGAAACUCAAAUGAAUUGACGGGG
rnacentral:rRNA from 1 species